GCACAACGCGAAGAACCUUACCAAGGCUUGACAUGUAGAAGAACACCGCAGAGAUGCGGGACUCUUUGGACACUUCUAUACAGGUGGUGCAUGGUUGUCGUCAGCUCGUGUCGUGAGAUGUUCGGUUAAGUCCGGCAACGAGCGCAACCCUCGUCCUAUGUUGCCAGCACGUUAUGGUGGGAACUCAUGGGAUACUGCCGUGGUCAACACGGAGGAAGGUGGGGAUGACGUCAAAUCAUCAUGCCCCUUAUGUCUUGGGCUUCACGCAUGCUACAAUGGCCGGUACAAAGGGCUGCGAUACCGUAAGGUGGAGCGAAUCCCAAAAAGCCGGUCUCAGUUCGGAUUGGGGUCUGCAACUCGACCCCAUGAAGUCGGAGUCGCUAGUAAUCGCAGAUCAGCAACGCUGCGGUGAAUACGUUCCCGGGUCUUGUACACACCG
rnacentral:rRNA from 1 species